UGGGGAAUAUUGCACAAUGGGCGAAGGCCUGAUGCAGCGACGCCGCGUGCGGGAUGAAGGCUCUAGGGUUGUAAACCGCUUUCAGCAGGGAUGAGGCCGAAAGGUGACAGUACCUGCAGAAGAAGCCCCGGCUAACUACGUGCCAGCAGCCGCGGUAAUACGUAGGGGGCAAGCGUUAUCCGGAUUCAUUGGGCGUAAAGCGCGCGUAGGCGGUCUGUUAGGUCAGGAGUCAAAUCCGGGGGCUCAACCCCCGUUCGCUUCUGAUACCGGCAGACUUGAGUUUGGUAGGGGAAGGUGGAAUUCCCAGUGUAGCGGUGGAAUGCGCAGAUAUUGGGAAGAACACCGGUGGCGAAGGCGGCCUUCUGGGCCAUAACUGACGCUGAGGCGCGAAAGCUAGGGGAGCGAACA
rnacentral:rRNA from 1 species